rnacentral:rRNA from 1 species
UACGAAGGGGGCUAGCGUUGCUCGGAAUCACUGGGCGUAAAGCGCACGUAGGCGGAUUGCUAAGUCAGGGGUGAAACCCUGGAGCUCAACUCCAGAACUGCCUUUGAUACUGGCGAUCUCGAGUCCGGAAGAGGUGAGUGGAACUGCGAGUGUAGAGGUGAAAUUCGUAGAUAUUCGCAAGAACACCAGUGGCGAAGGCGGCUCACUGGCCCGGUACUGACGCUGAGGUGCGAAAGCGUGGGGAGCAAACAGG